rnacentral:misc_RNA from 1 species
GCAUGCCUGUUCGAGCGUCAUUAUAACCAAAUCAAGCCCGGCUUGGUGUUGGGGUUCGCGGCUCCGCGGCCCCUAAAAUCAGUGGCGGCGCCGUUCGGCUCUAAGCGUAGUAAUUUUCUCGCUAUGGGGUCGUGCGGCUGCCCGCCAGAAAACCUCUAUCGGUUGACCUCGGAUCAGGUAGGGAUACCCGCUGAACUUAA